AUUGAACGCUGGCGGCAGGCUUAACACAUGCAAGUCGAGCGGAGAUGAGGUGCUUGCACCUUAUCUUAGCGGCGGACGGGUGAGUAAUGCUUAGGAAUCUGCCUAUUAGUGGGGGACAACAUUCCGAAAGGAAUGCUAAUACCGCAUACGGCCUACGGGAGAAAGCAGGGGAUCUUCGGACCUUGCGCUAAUAGAUGAGCCUAAGUCGGACUAGCUAGUUGGUGGGGUAAAGGCCUACCAAGGCGACGAUCUGGAGCGGGUCUGAGAGGAUGAUCCGCCACACUGGGACUGAGACACGGCCCAGACUCCUACGGGAGGCAGCAGUGGGGAAUAUUGGACAAUGGGGGGAACCCUGAUCCAGCCAUGCCGCGUGUGUGAAGAAGGCCUUAUGGUUGUAAAGCACUUUAAGCGAGGAGGAGGCUACUGAGACUAAUACUCUUGGAUAGUGGACGUUACUCGCAGAAUAAGCACCGGCUAACUCUGUGCCAGCCGCCGCCGUAACAC
rnacentral:rRNA from 1 species